AUUGAACGCUGGCGGCAGGCCUAACACAUGCAAGUCGGGCGGAUGAAGGGAGCUUGCUCCUGGAUUCAGCGGCGGACGGGUGAGUAAUGCCUAGGAAUCUGCCUGGUAGUGGGGAAUAACGUCCGGAAACGGGCGCUAAUACCGCAUACGUCCUGAGGGAGAAAGUGGGGGAUCUUCGGACCUCACGCUAUCAGAUGAGCCUAGGUCGGAUUAGCUAGUUGGUGGGGUAAAGGCCUACCAAGGCGACGAUCCGUAACUGGUCUGAGAGGAUGAUCAGUCACACUGGAACUGAGACACGGUCCAGACUCCUACGGGAGGCAGCAGUGGGGAAUAUUGGACAAUGGGCGAAAGCCUGAUCCAGCCAUGCCGCGUGUGUGAAGAAGGUCUUCGGAUUGUAAAGCACUUUAAGUUGGGAGGAAGGGCAGUAAGUUAAUACCUUGCUGUUUUGACGUUACCAACAGAAUAAGCACCGGCUAACUUCGUG
rnacentral:rRNA from 1 species